rnacentral:rRNA from 1 species
AUUAUUAAAAUAUAUAAUAAAUAUUUUAGAUUAGUAUUAAAUAUAUUUAUGAAAUUAAAAUAAUUUGGCGGUAUUUUAGUCUAUUCAGAGGAACUUGUUUUAUAAUCGAUAUUCCUCGUUAUAUCUUACUUAUUUUAUUUAAUUUGUAUAUCGUUGUCAUUAGAAUAUUUUAUAAGAAAAAUAAUUUUCUAUAAUUAUAUAAAAUUUUAUGUCAAAUCAAGGUGCAGUUUAUAUUUAAGUAAAAAUGAGUUACAUUAAUAUUUAUUUAUAUGAAUUAUGGAUUGAAAUAUCUUUAUAAAGGUGGAUUUGAUAGUAAGUUUUAAAAGAGUAUAAAGUUGAUUAUAGCUCUAAAAUAUGUAC